CUGCUGCCUUCCGUAGGAGUCUGGGCCGUGUCUCAGCCCCAGUGUGGCCGUCCACCCUCUCAGGCCGGCUGCUGAUCGUCGCUUUGGUGGGCCGUUACCCCGCCAACUGGCUAAUCAGACGCGGGCCCAUCCUGUACCACCGGAGUUUUCAAGGGAUUACCAUGCGGUAUUCCCUAUUAUGCGGUAUUAGCACCUAUUUCUAAGUAUUAUCCCCCGGUACAGGGCAGGUUGCCCACGCGUUACUCACCCGUCCGCCACUAAGACAG
rnacentral:rRNA from 1 species